CCCGCGAGAGUCUCGGAACGAGAAGGGAGAGGAGAAGAGAACGAGAAGAGCGAGAAGAGGAAGUUAGGAAUGGCGGGUAUAUGCAUACUAUUUACUAAGUUCUGUGAGCUCUAGCCUCCUGUGAAGGAGCACUUUGCCCAGGAGAAGACAUAAGGCAACAACAACAAAAAAAACCACAAUGGCCCCAGGAAGAAGAUGGGAUGCUGUGUGUGUAGGAACCAUAGCAACAGUCAAUUCGCCUGAGGUAGUGCACAUAUGAACAAGUAGGAAUAUAUUUAUUUAUUCUCCUUUCUACAUAAAUCAUAACGCACAGGACGGAGUGUCCUGUGCCUGGCUCACCUCUUCAGGACCCUCGGCCCUGGCCCUCGAG